AUUGAACGCUGGCGGAAUGCUUUACACAUGCAAGUCGAACGAUGAACCUUAGCUUGCUAAGGGGAUUAGUGGCGAACGGGUGAGUAAUAUAUCGGAACGUACCUUGUAAUGGGGGAUAACUAGUCGAAAGAUCAGCUAAUACCGCAUACGCCCUGAGGGGGAAAGUAGGGGAUCUUGGGACCUUACGUUAGAAGAGCGGCCGAUAUCUGAUUAGCUAGUUGUUGGGGUAAUGGCCUACCAAGGCGACGAUCAGUAGCUGGUCUGAGAGGACGACCAGCCACACUGGAACUGAGACACGGUCCAGACUCCUACGGGAGGCAGCAGUGGGGAAUUUUGGACAAUGGGCGCAAGCCUGAUCCAGCCAUUCCGCGUGAGUGAAGAAGGCCUUCGGGUUGUAAAGCUCUUUCGCAAGGGAAGAAAACUUACAUUCUAAUAAAGUGUGAGGCUGACGGUACCUUGAUAAGAAGCACCGGCUAACUACGUGCCAGCCGCCGCAGUAAAAC
rnacentral:rRNA from 1 species